UUGAAACACCAGUUCUUGUUCGAUCACCGUUGUUAAGCAAAGUUGAGUCUGGUCAGUAUUCGGUUGGGUGACCGCUGGGGAAUAUUAGGCACUGUCAG